rnacentral:rRNA from 1 species
GACGAACGCUGGCGGCGUGCUUAACACAUGCAAGUCGAACGGAAAGGCCCUGCUUUUGUGGGGUGCUCGAGUGGCGAACGGGUGAGUAACACGUGAGUAACCUGCCCUUGACUUUGGGAUAACUUCAGGAAACUGGGGCUAAUACCGGAUAGGAGCUCCUGCUGCAUGGUGGGGGUUGGAAAGUUUCGGCGGUUGGGGAUGGACUCGCGGCUUAUCAGCUUGUUGGUGGGGUAGUGGCUUACCAAGGCUUUGAAGGGUAGCCGGCCUGAGAGGGUGACCGGCCACAUUGGGACUGAGAUACGGCCCAGACUCCUACGGGAGGCAGCAGUGGGGAAGAUUGCACUAUGGGCGGAAGCCUGAUGCAGCAACGCCGCGUGCGGGAUGACGGCCUUCGGGUUGUAAACCGCUUUCGCCUGUGACGAAGCGUGAGUGACGGUAAUGGGUAAAGAAGCACCGGCUAACUACGUG